AGAGUUUGAUCCUGGCUCAGGAUGAACGCUGGCGGCGUGCCUAACACAUGCAAGUCGAGCGUGAUUCCAGUGAGUGGAGACUUCGGUCAAAGCGAGCUGGAUGAAAGCGGCGGACGGGUGAGUAACGCGUGGGCAACCUGCCCCAUACACGAGGAUAGCCGCUGGAAACGGUGAUUAAUACUCGAUAAGACCCCGCUGCCACAUGGCAGAGAGGCCAAAGAUUUAUCGGUAUGGGAUGGGCCCGCGUCUGAUUAGCUGGUUGGUGAGGUAACGGCUCACCAAGGCGACGAUCAGUAACCGACCUGAGAGGGCGGACGGUCACACUGGAACUGAGACACGGUCCAGACUCCUACGGGAGGCAGCAGUGGGGAAUAUUGCACAAUGGGCGCAAGCCUGAUGCAGCAACGCCGCGUGAGUGAAGAAGGCCUUCGGGUCGUAAAGCUCUGUCCUGUGGGACGAAACAAAUGACGGUACCACAGGAGGAAGCCCCGGCUAACUACGUGCCAGCAGCCGCGGUAAUACGUAGGGGGCAAGCGUUAUCCGGAAUCACUGGGCGUAAAGGGUGCGUAGGUGGUCCAUCAAGUCAGAAGUGAAAGGCAGCGGCUUAACCGCUGUAAGCUUUUGAAACUGACGGACUUGAGUGCAGGAGAGGUAAGUGGAAUUCCUAGUGUAGCGGUGAAAUGCGUAGAUAUUAGGAGGAACACCAGUGGCGAAGGCGACUUACUGGACUGUUACUGACACUGAGGCACGAAAGCGUGGGGAGCAAACAGGAUUAGAUACCCUGGUAGUCC
rnacentral:rRNA from 1 species